GGUCUUUCGGUGCGUUAGGGGAGCGAGCGCACCGGCGCGGGCUCUCACACGCGCAGCCGGCCCGGUGCGCGCGACGCCGCUCCGCUCCAAUGAGGGCAUCCCGGUUUGGGAAAGAAGGUGCCCACGUGACAGGGCAGAGCAGCGACACGGCGUCUCCGAGUUAAACGCGCCUCUCGACGGAGCGCGGCUCACACUCGCUGAGGAAAGAAGAGGAGGAAGAAGAAGAAUACGAGAAAACAGUAAAAGAAAACAAACAAACAAAAAAAAAGAUUUCCGAAGAAACAUUAAAGCCGACGCCGCGGAAGAUGGAAGGCUACGUGCUGUCUGAAGACGAUCUGCUCCACUCCUGCCUUCACAGAUUCACCUGGGAGAAUCCGUGCGACCAGGGCCCCUGCACAAUGUAAUUGAUUUCUAGAAUCUGGCCUGGUUGGAAGGAAAUAGACAACUGACUGAAAAUGCCACCAGAUUUGUCCCAGACUGAGGCUCCCAUGUCUCUGAAGUAAAUCCCACAAUAUCUUCUUUCUGGAAUAUCUUUGGACUGUGGAAAAGAUCCAUGAGGAAACCCAAGCAAAGAGAGGACACGUGCAGACUCCACCCACUCAGAGCCAGGGGAAUCGACCCCAUACCCUUAUUGGUGUGACCUGUCAAUGUCACCCUGGAUCUCCGAACUUCACAUUGUCAUGGAGAGCCAGGCAGCCCAAGAGAGAAACUUCAUUUCGGCGAGAAGCGUGGUCUCUGGGGUACCUCCACAGAUCCACAAGGACAUUCUGGUUUUGUACAUCUCAUUCUUCUUCGGUGCUCUCAGCCUGUGGUGAUGUGACCUUCAAUGACGCGAAGUGGAACAGAAAAUGUAUGGAUGGGCGGAAGAUGACUGUACAAUAUUUAAAGCAUAUAUUGAAGUAAAUUCCAAUAUGUGGUAUGUUUUAUAUGCUAUAUUAAUGUUUUUGAAGUAUUCCAAAUGAAAUCCUACUAGAAAUGUUGACUGUCAAUAUUUAAUAUCGUAACACAUUUCUAUUGUAUAACUUCUUAUCUGUUUAUCCCAUCAAUGUAAUGCGCAGAUAAUUCUUCAGAUUAAAAUUCUGUGAAACACCUUGA